rnacentral:rRNA from 1 species
GAUGAACGCUGCGGCGGGCCUAAUACAUGCAAGUCGAGCGAACAGGUUAAGAGCUUUCUCCUCUGACCUUAACCGCGGAACGGGGGGGUACACCUUGGUAACCCACCUAUAAGAACGGGGUAAACUUGGGAAAACGGGACUAAUUCCGGGAUAUUUAUUGAAACGCAUGGUUUAAUUGUGAAAGAACGGUUUGGUUUCACUUUUUGAUGGAUCCCGCGCCGCAUUAGCUAGUUGGUAAGGUAACGGCUUACCAAGGCAACGAUGCGUAGCCGACCUGAGAGGGUGAUCGGCCACACUGGAACUGAGACACGGUCCAGACUCCUACGGGAGGCAGCAGUAGGGAAUCUUCCGCAAUGGGCGAAAGCUUGACGGAGCAACGCCGCGUGAGUGAUGAAGGUCUUCGGAUCGUAAAACUCUGUUAUUAGGGAAGAACAAAUGUGUAAGUAACUAUGCACGUCUUGACGGUACCUAAUCAGAAAGCCACGGCUAACUACGUG